rnacentral:rRNA from 1 species
AUUGAACGCUGGCGGCAGGCCUAACACAUGCAAGUCGAACGGUAACAGGAAGCAGCUUGCUGCUUUGCUGACGAGUGGCGGACGGGUGAGUAAUGUCUGGGAAACUGCCUGAUUGAGGGGGAUAACUACUGGAAACGGUAGCUAAUACCGCAUAACGUCGCAAGACCAAAGAGGGGGACCUUAGGGCCUCUUGCCAUCGGAUGUGCCCAGAUGGGAUUAGCUAGUAGGUGGGGUAACGGCUCACCUAGGCGACGAUCCCUAGCUGGUCUGAGAGGAUGACCAGCCACACUGGAACUGAGACACGGUCCAGACUCCUACGGGAGGCAGCAGUGGGGAAUAUUGCACAAUGGGCGCAAGCCUGAUGCAGCCAUGCCGCGUGUAUGAAGAAGGCCUUCGGGUUGUAAAGUACUUUCAGCGGGGAGGAAGGGAGUAAAGUUAAUACCUUUGCUCAUUGACGUUACCCGCAGAAGAAGCACCGGCUAACUCCGUG